CAGGAAAGUGUGAAGACCAGCAUCACCAACACCCACAUACCCGCCAUCCUUGUCCAUCCGAUCUUAACAUUUUGCCUUUUACUUUGCCCAGAAUGUUUCGCCCUUAAAAAUUUUAAGUUAAAGACCUCUGUGCUCCCCUCCGAGGAGUCCUCUGUCCUCUGUGCCUUCAGAGGUGACCACUGUCCUGAGCUGGGGACUCAUGAGCGCGUGGCUGUCUCCUGCAUCGCGUGGGCCGCGUGUUAUCACACCACACGUCCUUCCUCAAGCCCUGCGCUCAAGAACCUCAGCGUCGACAUUGGAAGGUGACUUGCAGAUACACACAGCUCCGCAGAAAACACUUAAAUUGGUGGUUUUCAUUCCAACGUGUGAAUGUCCCACAGCGCGUCUCCCGAGUCUGCAUUCGGUUUGCUGCCGGUUUCUCAGGACUCCGGGGAGGAAGAGGAGGACGAGGGGCUGAGGAAGAGAGAGAAUCUUCCGCAGGCUCCCUGAGAUCAUGACCUGAGCUGAAAUCAGGAGUCGAAGGCGUCACUGACUAAACCGCCCCGUGCUCCUUGAAUCAGACCUUUCGAUAUCAUCAUUUCUACAUAAUUGUGAGUAUUUUCCAGCACAUACUACGUUUGUCUUCUAGUCCUCUAUUUUAACAGUUUAUCUAAUAGGUAGCAUUUUUUCUUUUUUUGCCCUUUUUUCUUUUUAAUUGUGGUAAACAAACAAACAAACAAAAAACCCACACAACAUCAAUUUAACUCUGACCUCCCUUCCCAUUUUUUUUUUCUUUUUUUUUAAUUUUUAUUUAUUUACUCUGACAGGCUCCAUGCAUCGGGAGCCCAUCGAUUUAAGUGCCCAGGUUCAGGCGCCAAACCGCUGCGCCACCCAGGGAUCCCUCCCUUCCCAUUUUUAAGUGUUCAGACGUCACUUCCACAUUGUGUGCAGACAAUUUCCAAAACUUUCUCAUCAUGUAAAACUGAAAGUAUCCUCCUUAAGCAACUUUACACUUCUCUUUGCAGUGAAAAACAACAAAAAAACAAAACAAGACAAAACAACAACAACAAAAAAAAACUUUUAUACUACGGAAAAUCGUACACAGCCACGAAAGUGGAGAGAACAGUUCCGUGCGUCCAUACGUCCCCAAUAUUCGCUUCACCAAUCUUCAGCUCCCGGCCACUCUUGUUUUAUUUAUGCUCUCACCCACUGUUGUCCCAAAAUGAGCAAAAUGUUUUAAAACUUUGAAAGAGAAAAGAAGAGAGUUUUUACUGGAGCCCCAUGAGGCCAACUGCCCGGGCUCCGCAGAGCUCACAGGGAAGACUGUGCUUGGGGAGGGGGUGAUCGGCGCAGUUAUGUACAGUUUCUCAUAGAAUCACCGACCACGGCGACCAAGGACAUUCCAGAAAGCUACAGACUUUAUCUUACGUUCUUGGUGUGGGCGAGGCUGUGUGACUUUAAUCUUAUGGGAGUCAGGGAGGGCUUUUUGGUUUUCUUACCUUUAUACUUGGAAUGCUCCUUUCUGGUUGUUUUUUUUAACAAAGCAGACGUACAGUGUGUGCUCCGGGCAGAAGCAGAGUCCAUGCUUUGAGCUCUUGCUGAGUCAUUUUGACCUCGGGUAGAUGUUAAGAUAGAGCUCCCCUGGGAGCCCGCACCCCAUGCAUGAGAAGGUGAACAUCUCCUUUAUUUCACCAUUUUUCCUCCAUCAUCCGACCCCACCAUUCCCCAUCGUUUGGCAGCACACC
rnacentral:lncRNA from 1 species